rnacentral:tRNA from 2 species
GCCCCGUUGCCUCAGCAGCCACAGGACUCCUCUCGUAAAGGAGUAAUCGUCGGUGCGAGUCCGACACGGGGCU